UUCAAUUCUUUUUUUUUUUUUACAAUUUUUCCAUUAAUUUUGAUACCAUAUAUGUCUUGGUUGGUAAGAGUUAUUUUUAAUUUUUGUAAGGUUACUAAUAAAAAUGAGUUUACCAGCUUUAGCUUACUUAUGAGUCCUUUGUUCAAAUCUUGUUGUGUGCAAAAGUGGAAUUAUUUUUGCUCUGUCACUUGUUGCCACCUAAGGUGUUAGAGUUUCGGUCAAACUCAACUACUAAAUAAAUCUGAUAGGUUGUAGUUUUUUCUCUUUUGCCACCCCUUUGCUUCUAUUCUACUGUUUCCCUUGAUUUUUAUCUUGUUUUCUGUUUUGCCGCCUCUUUGCCAAUUGAUUUGUUUCGGCUGUGCGUGGUAAGUAUCUUGGAGUAGGAUUUGUAACUUCAUCCUAAGUAAGUUCUUCGAAUGUUACUUUGGGUACUAAUUAUCGUUGUGUUGUUGGGGUUAAUUGAUCUUUUAUAAUUUUGGUUAGGUGAGGAGCGUGAAUUACCUGAUCCUCCAAUUAACUCUGCUAGUUGCUGUUUUUUUUCUUUGCGAGAUAAGUGCUAAAUGCCGAUUUUUGGAGAGCUGGUUGGUUAAUUCGGGAAUUUUGUUGACGAAUGUGUUAGUUUUUGGUCGACUUGUUGAAAAAUAUGGACAUCACAUAUAUAAUAAGGAAUUUGGUGAUGUUGUUCUGUCGACAUCUCAGAAUCGAUCAGGUGUGUGACCCGAGCUCAAAAAAUUCAUUAAACGAUGCGAAUGAAACUGUCAAUCAACGUCACACGAGUGUGUGGGCUCAAUAAAUUGGGUCAUGUGGGCCCUUUUCGAGCAGAAUUGUUUGGGAUGUGUUUUGGGUCGUAGGUUUGAAAAUAACAUUCUGUAUGCAUCCAUAGAUGGUAACAAAGCAACCAAUAUGUAGCAAUUUUUGGUACGUUAGGGAUGUCAUUAUAAUUCCUGAAAGCAUGCUUAGUUAUAUAAAAUUGGCAUAUCUGAUCUGAAUUUCUGUAUAUGACAUUGGCAUGUUCUGAUCUGUUUCGUUCAAAAAUUAGCACAAUACAUCUGUGUAUGACAUUUUGAUA